rnacentral:rRNA from 1 species
GACGAACGCUGGCGGCGUGCCUAAAACAUGCAAGUCGAACGGAGGCCUCGGCCUCAGUGGCGAACGGCGGAGUAACACGUGAGCAAGCUGCCCCCGAGACCGGGACAGUCGCUGGAAACGGCGGGUAAUACCGGAUUCGGCCCCCCUUCGGCAUCGGAGGGGGACCAAAGGGUUUUUCGCUCGGGGAGGCGCUCACGGCCUAUCAGGUAGUUGGCGGGGUAACGGCCCACCAAGCCGACGACGGGUAGCGGGUCUGAGAGGAUGGUCCGCUCGAGUGGGACUGAGACACGGCCCACACACCUACGGGUGGCAGCAGUUGGGAAUCUUGCACAAUGGGCGAAAGCCUGAUGCAGCGACGCCGCGUGGGGGACGAAGGGUCUAGGCCUGUAAACCCCUUUUGCCGGGAAAGACUUAGGACGGUACCCGGCGAAUAAGCCCCGGCUAACUACGUGCCAGCAGCCGCGGUAAGACGUAGGGGGCGAGCGUUGUCCGGAUUUACUGGGCGUAAAGGGCGCGUAGGCGGCCCGUUAAGUGUGGAGUGAAAGCCCCGGGCUCAACCCGGGAAUCGCUCCGCAUACUGGCGGGCUCGAGGGUGGCAGAGGUGUGCGGAAUUGCCGGUGUAGCGGUGAAAUGCGUUGAUAUCGGCAGGAACACCCGUGGCGAAGGCGGCACACUGGGCCACACCUGACGCUGAGGCGCGAAAGCGUGGGUAGCAAACAGGAUUAGAUACCCUGGUAGUCCACGCCCUAAACGAUGGACGCUAGGCGUCGGGGGUAUCGACCCCCCCGGUGCCGCAGCCAGCGCGAUAAGCGUCCCGCCUGGGGACUACGGCCGCAAGGUUGAAACUCAAAUGAAUUGACGGGGACCCGCACAAGCGGUGGAGCAUGUGGAUUAAUUCGAUACUAACCGAAGAACCUUACCCAGGCUUGACAUCGAUGGAAAGCGCCCGAAAGGGCGCCCCCUCCCACAAGGAGGCCAGAAGACACUUGUUGCAUGGCUGUCGUCAGCUCGUGCCGUGAGGUGUACGGUUAAGUCCGCCAACGAGCGCAACCCCCGUCCCGCGUUGCCAGCACGAAAGGUGGGGACUCGCGGGAGACCGCCGGUGCAAGCCGGAGGAAGGUGGGGACGACGUCAAGUCGGC